GUUAGGGUUCCAAAUUGCAAAUGGCAAGAUGGGAACUCUAGGGCUCCAAAAGAGGAUUUUUGGUAAAGUAUGAGAUUGAUCUCAUUUGAGACCUUGUAAACCUAAUUGGUAGGUGCCUAAAUGCGGAGGCGAAGUCAGAUUUAGCAUUCGUCAAGUGGGUCAAGAGCUAUCGGCAAAAUAAGGCCGAUUGAGCAUCAUUUUGGACCAAGAAGACCGAGACUUCGUCGUAACGUCCGUUGGAGGGCAUUUCUAGAGCCUCCAUACCCUCAAGAGGUGGGGGGUGUCAUCCCGAAGUAUUCGGGUUUCUUUUUAUGUCUAAGUUAAUUUUAUUCAUCAUAUGUGGAUUGUGCAUUAUAGGAUUAGUAGAAGUAUAUUUCUAUUCCUUGCAUGCUUAGUAGUGUAGUGGUAUGGGCUUAACACUUGAACUAGGGAGGCAUGAGGAUUCGGUCUUGAGACAAAGAAUCCUAUAGUGGCAAAAGAGAUGAACUUGGACAUAGCCUAGUAGAGUGGCAUUGAACUAGUGUAGUAAAAACACUAAACAAGAAUGAGUGGCAUGUCAACUAACUAGAAAACUUACUACAAUGAUCGAACGAGUGGCAUCGAGUCUAGUGUAGUAAACAUGACAUAGUUCUAGGGAUAGUAGAGAUCCCAGUAUCUAGGAUGCAUUGUAUAUUGUGCAGCAGAGGCACGUUGACCCUUGUAAAUAGGGUAUCCUCUUGUGAGGAUUGGAUCAUACUCACUAGUCUGUUUUCGCUAUCGGUGGUUGCUCCACCGUGGCACAAGUCUCCGGAGAACUUCACUAGGGGCAGACGUAGUUGUCCCGCAGACGGUCUCGGUGUGCGAGUGCAGCUUCUCCUCACCUAUGAGAUUGAGAGUGAGUCGAGGGUUUAACCUACGGGUUAACCAAGUAGAUUGGGUAAUAAACUUGGAAUGCAUAGUAGACUUGCAUUAUUACCUUGAGUAGACAUAGUGUAUGUUGUAGUUUACAUUACUAUGCACUUUAUAUGCUCAUGACAUAAUACUAGCAUGAUAGUAAUUGUUGCAUGCAUUAUUAUCAUUGAGUUAGUUAGUAGCUUUCCAUUAUGCAUCAGAGUACCCUCGUGUACUAGAUACCAUGUAUACUUUGGAUAGAUAUUAGAGAGCCAGGAUGUAUUUUGAAAAACAUGUAUUUACAUUUUGGAAGGUGAAAAUGUAAUGUAAUCAAAUGAUAUAACUAUUGAAUGGUUAUAAUAGCUAGAUAUUUCUCUCUUUAUACACUUGUACAUUACUUGUGGUUCUUGCUCUUAGAUGUGUUGUACUUGUGUGCAUCGUAUUUGAUCAUGUAUGUUAUUUAAGCAAUUUCCUCGGUGCUUAAUUGUACAUGAUCUGGUUGCUUAGCCUUGAGCGGACAAGAGAGGUGCUGUCCAUUCGGCGUUCGUCCGCCGCGCCCGAACCGUGCCAAAUUGGUAGCGGCAUUGGGACGGGGGCGUGACACAAAUACAUCAUCUGUCUCAAAAUACAAAAUGGGUGGUCUCUAUACAUAGUACACUCUCAACCUCUCCAAAAUAAAACCAAUGAGAGGUAGACCACCUAUCGAUGCGUCCCUCACAAAAGAGCUAGCUCGAGGCGAUGCCCUUUUCGCGGUCCCUAGCCUCGCCCGGUGUGGAAAGCUCUGAAAGGAAAUAAGAAACAGGGGGCGUGAGAACUAUAACUUAUAGUUCCCAGUGGGCAAUUACUGACCUCAGCACAUUGCGCCCCUAGGCCCAAAAGAGUACGGUACAUGUGUUAAACAACUGGAAUUAAACUGCAGAUAUGAAAGUAUGUAUUGAAUGCUAAAAUAAACUACUAUGCUAUAAGCAAUAUUGUAAUAUACCGAAAAUUCGGAAAAUAAAAGUCGAACUUUAGCCAAAUUGACCAAAGUGCGAGGAUGGAACACUUCGGAGAGUCCGAAAGUGUUAAAAUGAUCAAAAGUGAGUUGUGGAAGGUUUUCGAGAGCUAAAGAAUCAAAUUCUGCAAAACUGCAGAUUUUCAGCUCUCGGGGACCGGUCCCUGGUGGGAGAGACCGGUCCCCGAACGCGUAUAAGAUGAGACAGCCGAAAAAUCGGCUAAGUCCUGAGAAAGUAUGUAAUAUACCGAAAAUUCGGAAAAUAAAUAUCGAACUUUAGUCAAAUUGACCAAAGUNGCGGCCGACAACACGACGCUAAGAGUUAGGACUAAUACAAUGGUGUACGUCCGCUUAUGGCGGAGUUGAGUUGCGUAAUAUAGUGUAUGCGACGGAGUUAAGUGGGUUAGAUGACUAACCCGGUUGUUGCGUUGCAGGAACAAUGUCCCCAAGACGCUACGUGCGUAGGUCCGUUCCGGCACCAUCUCCUGAGGUGCCCGAGGAAGCCGAAUCUAGUGAAGUACAAGAACUACGGGCGCAGGUGUCGGCAUUGACCGGCAUUGUACAACGCCAGGAGAGUCGAUUCGAGCAGCUCCAAGGGCUUAUGGAGCGGCAUUUUGCGGCGGCAACUGCAGCUGCAACUGAGGGCCAUGAUCCGCCCCCGCCUCCAGCUUGUGCGCCUACGGCGGCUGAGGGCGAGGGCAUUGCGGCAGUUCCAGUGGCGGCACGUCCUCCGCCGGUGAGCGUUCUUCCGGCGGCAUCGGGUUCUACGACACCCGAUGCGACGGCAUUGGAGGCGGAGAGGGAGCGCGCACUUGCGGCUCUUGAGAAGUUCCGGAAGUUCAAUCCACCGACCUUCGAGGGAGAGAAGGUCGAGCCAUGGAUGGUUGAGUCGUGGGUGGACGCAAUGGAGACCUUGUUCGAGGACCUCUACACGUUGGAGAAGGACAAGGUCUACCUCGCCACUCAUUGUUUGGAGCGAACGGCGAAGGUUUGGUGGAAGUGAAUCAAGAGAAAUCGAGCUUCCGACCUUCCGCCGUUGACGUGGGAGGAGUUUCGGGGAUUGUUCUAUGUCAACUACUUCCCCGAUAGCGAGAAGAAGAAGCUCCAAGAGCAAUUUCAGAAGUUGAAGCAAGGUAGCCUCACGAUAGCGGAAUAUAAGCGGGAGUUCUCUCACAUCAUUGACUGCGGCCUCGAUAUAGUGCGGGAUGACAGGGAUCGAGCCGAUUAGUUCGAGCGAGGGCUCCGGGCUGAUAUCUACCGGGCGGUGCACAUUCUGAAGCUCACUACCUUCGCGGAGGUACUCGACAGAGCGUUGUGGGCGGAGCAAGGAAACGCUCACAUCCGGGAGGAGCGAGAGGUGUUCGAGAAGGACGGUGGCAAGAAACGGGCUCAAGGCGGUUCGGGAGCUCAAUCGAAGUCAAGGAAGCCCCCGAAGUACCCGCAAACGCAAUCCAAGGGCUGCGGACCACAACGGUGCACGAUCUGUGGUGGGAACCACGAGCCGAGGAUGUGUGAUCAACGGGAGGGGAAGUGCUUCACGUGUGGGCAGGCGCGCCACAUCAGCCGCUACUGUCCAGUGAGGGCUUCGCCUGCCCCUUCGGUCGCAUCGGCUCCGGCGACUCCGGCGCAUUAUGGAGGAGUUCCACCUGCUGCGUCAUCGGCUGGACGUGCGAUGGUACCACGCCAAUCUGAGGCGACGAGAUCGGCUUCGAGCAGGCGGGUGUUCGCCGCCCAAACUCAAGCCGAGGAACCUGCUGAGGUGAAGGAUCGCCAUGUACUCGCAGGUAUGGUUUUUAAUUAACGGAGUUCGCUCCAGGGCUAUGUUUGAUACAGGUGCUACACAUUCAUUCAUCAGUAGGUCAUUUGCACGCAUGCAUGACAUAGAACUACAAGAGAGUAAAAGCACUUAGAGAGUAUCGGGCCCCAGACGUGAUUUUCUAGUCCGUAAGGAGUGUUCGUCUUGUCUGGUGCGGUUGGGCGAUUGGAUAAUGCCCAUCCGUAUGUUGGUGCUCAAAAAGUUGAAAGACUUCGACGUCAUUCUAGGAAUAGAUUGGCUCUCGAAGUACUAUGCGACCAUUCACUGCAGAAGUAAAGUGAUUACAUUUCGCGAGCCGGGCCAGGAAGAGUUCGUCUAACGGGCUUGUAGAAGCUCAUAUUUCGCCGCCACGGUAUCGGCGGCGAGAGCAAGGAAGCUAGUCAACAGCAAUUGUACGGCCUACUUGGCGACCGUUGUAGAAGUAGAGAGGACGACUCCUGCGCUCAAGGAGCUGUCUGUGGUUUGGGAAUUUCCAAAUGUAUUUCCCGUGGAGUUAUCAGGAAUGCCGCCAAACCGGAAGAUCGAGUUCGUGAUAGACUUGGUUCCAGGAACCGCGCCUAUCUCGAAGGCUCCGUAUCGGAUGGCGCCGGCGGAAUUGAAGGAGUUGCGGGCUCAGUUAUUGGAUAUCCUUGAUAAGGAAUUUAUACGACCAAGUGUAUCACCGUGGGGAGCCCCGGUUCUAUUCGUGCAAAAGAAUGACGGAUCAUUUCGACUCUGCGUAGAUUAUCGUGAGUUGAACAAAGUCACGAUCAAGAACAAGUACCCAUUGCUGAGGAUUGAUGAUCUGUUUGAUCAGUUGCAAGGGUCUCGGGUUUAUUCAAAGAUUGACCUGCAGUUCGGUUAUCACCAACUCAAGAUUAAGCCGGAAGAUGUGCAAAAGACCGCGUUUCGCACGCGAUAUGGACACUAUGAAUUCACGGUCAUGCCGUUUGGGCUCACUAACGCCCCGGCAGCGUUCAUGGAUCUGAUGAACCGUGUCUUCAAGGAGUAUUUGGACCAAUUUGUCGUGGUCUUCAUAGACGACAUCUUGGUCUAUUCUCGUAGCGACGAGGAACAUGCCGAGCAUUUGAGGAUAGUGCUUCAAGUCCUUCGGGAGGAGAAGCUAUAUGCUAAGUUUAAGAAAUGCGACUUUUGGCUCCGAGAGGUUGCAUUUCUUGGGCAUGUCAUUUCCGAGGGAGGAGUAUCCGUUGACCCGAGGAAAGUGGAGGCGAUCAAGGAUUGGCCUCGCCCGACUAACAUCACUAAAGUUCGAAGCUUCGUGGGUUUAGCGGGUUAUUAUAGACGGUUCGUGGAAGGAUUCUCGAAAAUCGUGGGUCCACUUACCCAUCUGACUCGGAAAGGCACCAAGUUCAUUUAGAGUGACGAGUGCGACCGGAGUUUUCAAGAGUUGAAGGAUAGAUUAACUUCGACUCCGGUGCUCGCCUUACCGGUGCAAAACGAAGACUUUGUAGUGUAUAGCGACGCGUCACAUUCGGGCUUAGCGUGUGUGCUGAUGCAAGGCGGGAAGGUGAUCGCUUAUGCUUCCCGUCAGCUAAAGAGCUAUGAGAAGAAUUACCCUGUCCACGAUUUAGAGUUGGCCGCAGUGGUGUUUGCCCUCAAGUUAUGGAGGCACUACUUGUAUGGAGCGCGUUGCGAGAUAUACACGGACCACAAGAGUCUAAAGUACCUAUUCAUGCAAAAGGAGCUCAAUAUGCGUCAGCGGCGGUGGUUGGAAUUGCUGAAGGAUUUCGAUGUGACAAUCCUAUACCACCCCGGAAAAGCAAACGUGGUGGCCGACGCGCUUAGCAGGAAGUCAGUGGAAAAUCUUGCUAUGUUGGUCACACAUCAAGAACCAUUGUGGAGAGAGAUGGAGCGAUUGGACCUCGAGGUGGUAGCUCUGGAAAUCCCAUCUACGCUUACGGCUCUCGUUGUCCAACAGAUCUUGUUGGAGCAGAUUAAGAGUUUGCAAUCUGCAGACCCCAAUCUCCAAAAGGUGCGGCGGGACAUCAAGAGUGGACGCGGCGGCGAUUUCAGUGUAGAUGCUGAGGGUGCGCUUCAGUUUCGAAACCGAUAGUGCAUACCGGAGAACAAGGAGGUCCGGAAGUUAAUAUUGCAAGAGGCACAUCGGACUCCUUAUAGUAUUCACCCGGGCGGCACCAAGAUGUACCGUGAUCUGAAGAUAGAGUACUGGUAGCCGGGCAUGAAAGCAGACAUUGGGCGCUAUGUAGCACAGUGCCUUGUAUGCCAGCAAGUGAAGGCUGAGCGUCGAUUUCCAGCAGGAAAGCUCCAAAGUUUACCUAUUCCCGUUUGGAAAUGGGAGAAUAUAGCUAUGGACUUCAUGGUCGGAUUGCCCCGUUCGACGGGUGGCCACGACACGAUCUGGGUGAUUGUGGAUCGUAUGACCAAGUUGGCACACUUUCUACCGAUUCACACCACCUGGUCGGGCGACAAGUUGGCGCAGAUAUACUUGGAUGAAGUUGUGAGGUUGCACGGGGUUCCGAAGUCGAUCGUGUCAGAUCAAGACCCUCGUUUUACUUCACACUUUUGGAAAAGCCUGCAAGAAGCACUUGGCACACGGCUCGAUUUCAGCACCGCAUUUCAUCUUCAGACAGAUGGACAGUCAGAGAGGACUAUACAGAUUCUGGAGGAUAUGUUGCGGGCGUGUGUCAUUGACUACAAGGGUAGUUGGGCAAACCAUUUGAGGAUGGCCGAGUUCGCCUAUAACAACAGUUAUCAAGCUAGCAUUGGGAUGGCACCGUUCGAGGUCCUAUAUGGACGGAAGUGCCAAUCCCCUAUAUGUUGGAGCGAUGUAGGUGAACCUACGGCAUUGGGCCCAGACAUAUUGCGAGAGGCGGAAGAGAAGGUCCCUCUUGCUCGCGAGAGGCUACUUACGGCACAGUCGAGGCAAAAGAGCUAUUCUAACAAACGCCGUAGAGAUUUGGAAUUUGCGGUAGGUGACCGUGUUUUCCUGAAGGUUUCGCCAAUGAGAGGUGUGAAACGCUUCGGAGUGCGGGGAAAGCUAAGUCCCCGAUAUAUUGGACUGUUCGAAGUGUUGGAACGUAUUGGAGCAGUAGCAUAUAGACUAGCAUUACCGCCGAAGCUCGCGGGUGUGUAUAAUGUGUUCCACGUCUCCAACCUUCGCAAGUAUAUUCCCGAUCCCGAGCAUGUUAUGUACUACGAGCCACCGGAUCUACACGAGGAUUUGAGCUAUGAAGAAUUUUCGGCAAUGAUUAUUGCUCGAGAAGUGCGGAAAUUGAGGAACCGCGAGAUUCCCUAUGUGAAGAUUCGUUGGACCAAUCACAGCGAUCGUGAGGCUACGUGGGAACCAAUGAAAGUGCAUUAUCCUCAUCUGUUCACGAAAAUGCAAUGAGGUAUCAGUUGUUGAAUUCGUUUCGAGGACGAAACUCCUUUUUAGGAGGGGAGGAUGUAAGGAAGUGAAUUCUCGAAAUACGAGAGUUAGACUUCAUCCAGAAUCGACCAAGGGUCGUAUUGGUGAGCUUUGGAAAAGCCAAAGAUGUCAAAAUCACCAAAAGUAUUUUGGAAACGAGUCCACGAGAGCAAAUAGUGCAAAAUCUGCACUGGAGCAAAACUGCUCUCGGGGACCGGUCCCUUGCAGGGAGGGACCGGUCCCAUCGGCUGGUGGUUGCGGGGAUCCUUGAGGCAACCGAUCCCUGGCAGGGAGAGACCGGUCCCCGAACGUGACCCUAGCGAGAAAAGCCAAAAUUUGGCUAAGUCCCGAAAAUCCUGCUCUCGGGAACCGGUCUCUCGGUCAAGGACCGGUCUCCCAGGGACCGGUCUCUCAGGGAAGGACCGGUUCCCAAACGCGUGACCCCGGCUAAGACUCUCAGGGACCGGUCCCAAGUCGAGGAGACCGGUCCCUCUGGGCGGAAAAUGCCCAGUGAGGGGCAGUGCACAGGAGCAAAAGGUGGGGGACUUAUAUGGAUAUUGUUACAAUAUGAGGUGAAUGGGACCCCUCCUCUCUCUCAUCUCCUCAUUCCCCUCUCCCUCUCUCUCACACUCUUUCUCCCUCUCUCUCUAGCAAGAGAAGAACAAAGGAAAGAACAAGAAGCAAAAGAAAAGAGAAGGAAAAGAAGGAGGAAAGGAAGGAGAAGAAGAAGGAGAUCAAUCUUGGGAGGCUUUUGGACCUCUCCCUCUUUCUCUCUUCUCAUUUGGAAGCUACACAAGAGGUAGGCUUCUAACUCUAGCUUAUGAAACUUAGGGUUUUUGGGCUUUGAGCUUUGGAAAUGGGGUCAAAUGGACCCCUAGCACCAUUGUUGGUGGAUUGAAGCUAGAGUUAGGGCUUCAAAUUGCAAAUGGCAAGAUGGGAACCCUAGGGCUCCAAAAGAGGGUUUUUGGUAAAGUAUAAGAUUGAUCUCAUUUGAGACCUUAUAAACCUAAUUGGUAGGUGCCUAAACGCGGGGGCGAAGUCGGAUUUAGCAUUCAUCAAGUGGGUCAAGAGCUAUCAACAAAAUAAGGCCGAUUGAGCAUUAUUUUGGACCAAGAAGACCGAGACUUCGUCGUAACGUCCGUUGGAGGACAUUUCUAGAGCCUCCAUACCCUUAAGAGGUGGGGGGUGUCAUCCCGAAGCAUCCGGAUUUUCUUUUAUGUCUAAGUUAAUUUUAUUCAUCAUAU
rnacentral:lncRNA from 1 species